CAAAAAAAAAAACAUUCACCUAGAAACCCAAACAAAAAAAGAAAGAAACCCAAACGGAAAAAGAGAAACCCAUUCAAGCAGCUUCGAAGCAUCGCCGUCGAAGAGCUCAGCGUCGCCGUCGAAGCGUCUCAGCGACGCCGUCGAAGCUCUCUUCGAAGCGUCGCCGUCAAAGCUCGCUUCGAGGCGUCGCCGUCAAAGCUCGCUUUGAAGCGUCGCUGUCGAAGCUUGCUUCGAAGCGACGCCUUGUUCUCAAUCGACGGCGACGGCAACGCUUUGAACCGUCUCCAAAUUGCCGUCGAAGCGUCUACUUGUUCUCAAUCGACGGUGACGGUGAUGGCGACGGCGACGCUUUGAACCGUCUCCAAAUCGCCGUCGAAGCUUCGCCUUGUUCUCAAUCGACGGCGACGGCGACGGUUUGAACCGUCACCGAUUCUCGACGAUUCCCAUUCGUUGCCGAUUCACUGAUUUGGACCAUUCGUCUCCAAAUCGAUGCCGACGCUUUGAAUCGUUGAAAUAAAGGAGGGGAAGAUUUUAUCAAUUGUUAAAGAAGAGGAUUGGCAGGGGAAAUCCAAGCCUAGCCUGAUUGAUGUGCUAAAUACACAUUGUUUACAAUAACUUUGGAUUUUUUCUGAAAGUUGUAAACUUAGCUUGAGCAAAAUUUCUUAUUGGUGGCUUUGGGGGAUUUCCUUUAGGCAUUAUUUGAAGACAUGAGGACAUCUUCCGUUGGUUCUAAUUAUAUUAUGCCACAUUUUUUGUAUUGUUAUAAAACAUCUUAAGUUAUUUUAUGUGUUGCAAAUAAUUAUUGUAUGUGUUGCAAACAAUUAUUGUAUGGAAGGAGUUUAAAUUGGAUACUUAUUUUAAUUUUAA